GUCGCUCCCCGCCGGCUGCCGUUAGGGCUGGGAGCCGGCUGGGCGCGGGGGUAGUGAGGGUGCCUCUCGCCGUGGCUGCGCGGCGGCCUCGUCCGAGAGGCCGGCGCCGGGGCAGUGACCGGCCCGUGCCCAGCCGCCGCGCAGGGCGCCCGGGGCAGCUGGCCGAGCCCUCGAUGCCUCCCGUCUGACGGAGGCGCCCGGGAAGCGCCGCCCACCUCGGCCCCGCACCCUCGCCGGCCUGCCGGGUCUCCGCCAGCCCUAGCAGACAGAGAGGGGCGCCGGUCCCUAGUCCCCCAGACCUCCAUUCAAGGUCAAAACUUUGCCCAGCUCAGCCUUGCUCGACCCUGGGCAGGGAAGCGCGGACAUCGGCAGAGGGAGCCCGAGGCUCUCCGUGCCCUUCGCGCCGGUCAAGAACUGUGGAAUCUUUCAGAUGAUAUUCUGAUACUUCUGGACCAAGAUUGAAUUUGUUCUUCAUGAAAAAUGUCUGGGACCUUUUAUGUGGGAGGAGCCAAGAUGGCCGAAUAGGAAAAGCUCCGGUCUACAGCUCCCAGCGUGAGCAACGCAGAAGACGGGUGAUUUCUGCAUUUCCAUCUGAGGUACCGGGUUCAUCUCACUAGGGAGUGCCAGACGGUGGGUGCAGGUCAGUGGGUGCGCACACCGUGCGCGAGCGGAAGCAGGGCGAGCCAUUGCCUCACUCGGGAAGCGCAAGGGGUCAGGGAGUUC
rnacentral:lncRNA from 1 species